rnacentral:rRNA from 1 species
UAGGUGGCAAGCGUUGUCCGGAAUUAUUGGGCGUAAAGGGCUCGCAGGCGGUUUCUUAAGUCUGAUGUGAAAGCCCCCGGCUCAACCGGGGAGGGUCAUUGGAAACUGGGAAACUUGAGUGCAGAAGAGGAGAGUGGAAUUCCACGUGUAGCGGUGAAAUGCGUAGAGAUGUGGAGGAACACCAGUGGCGAAGGCGACUCUCUGGUCUGUAACUGACGCUGAGGAGCGAAAGCGUGGGGAGCGAACAGG